rnacentral:RNase_P_RNA from 1 species
GAUGUGCCUGAGACGGUCGCCUGUCGGUUCGCCGAUGGGAGGAAAGUCCGGACACCACGAGGCAGUAUCGCCGCAUGAAAGUGCGGGCGGGCGGCGUGAAAGCGCCGGCUGACGGAAAGUGUCGCAGAAAAUAUACCGCCUACCUGGGCUUUGCCGGGGUGGGUAAGGGUGAAAUGGCGGGGUAAAAGCCCACCGCCCCGAGGGUGACCGAGGGGGCAAGACAAACCCCGUACGGUGCAAGACAGAACAGGGAGAACGGGUUGCCUGCCCGGUUCCGCGAGAGCGGUAUGUUCCCGGGUAAUAGUCGCAGUCGGCUUCGGUCGGCUCCUCCUGAGCCUUGGCAAGGGGGGAAGAUAAAUGACCGUUACCCGCCAAUGGCGGAGACAGAAUCCGGCUUAUGACGGUGCAUCCACU